rnacentral:lncRNA from 1 species
UAACAUUUAUUUUUAACACUUUUUUAUAUCUAGCUGUUUUAAAUGCAGAAUAGAGAUUUGUAUUUAUGGUAUCAAGGUUUAGAAAAAACAAACUUAUCCUAUGUGUGCACAGUUUUUAAACAACAAUUUUCUUCCAAGUUUCAAAUUAGCUAUGAGUGAUGAUCAUAAAGACAAACAUUUUUGCAUUUAAAACUUUCGAACCUGGGUUGCAAGACUGAUACGUACUGCAUGUAAAGCAUUUCAUAAACGAGGCAGUGAUGAAGCUGGUAGACGAAUGUAUGUUUGCUCCUUUUAUAGGAGCAACAUUUUGUUUUAUAAUGGGGCUGCACUGUAUUAUCAUUCUGAAUCUAUUAAAGAAUUUUUGUCUGAAUGGCCAAAUCCGAAUAAUUUAUUUACAGGCAGUUAAUGAAGAUAUAUCAAAUUUAUUGUUUUUAGCAGAAUCUCGUGCUUAAUCAAACAUCUGCAUUUGAUCCAAGAUAAUCAAACAUCUGUAUUUGAUUCAAGAGAUGCCAAAAUACAUAAAGAUAAACUUUAUAAAAAACUUUUUGAGGAGACUAAAAAUAUAGAAUUGUCUAAAUAAUGUCUUGGUGCAGCAGUCAUUAGAAAUAAUUUCCCAUGAGUUUUUAAUAAUUCUAGAAAGACAAGCAAUUGAUCAGCUUCCAGGAGGUAAAUAUUGGAACUCAGAUAAAAGAAUUCAAAAGGCUGCUGAAAAUGUACCAACAAUUAACAAAGCUUCAGAAAGUGAUUUAGUGAUUCUGGAUUUACUUAUUCGGACAAAGCCUAAUGCUAAAAUACAAACAAUUCAAGCAUAUACAAUGUGGUACAGAAACAAAGCCUUAGAUUGGUUGAAUGCAAAAUCAGAAGAAGAGUGUUACAUUUUAAUUGAAAAAGCUUCUAAUAGUGUUGAAAAAAAUGAAGUUAAAGUAAAAAGCGUCAAGUAGAGUUAAUAUCAAAGAAAUCUUCUAUUAUGAUAGUAAAACAGUAACUCAGAUACAGAAAAGAAGGCAUUGCUGAAAAAAGGAAAUGUUGUAAAUGAGCUUAUUCAAUUGAAAUCACAAGUUUGGCUAACAGCGGAUGAAGCAAAAGAUAAAUCUUCAAAAAUUUAAAAUGAUACUUUAAGGAAGCAAGUCAUUAGAGUUCAAUUAGAUUUUUAUCGUUAUGUAAUGAUGGCAAAAUGUUUGUUCAGGAGAGUUAAUGGAGAACCUGUUGACUGUCAUUUGUACCUGCAAUUUGCCUUCGCCAGAAAAAACAACCAAUACAUUAAAAGAAAAAAACCAAGGCAAUGAUUUGAUUAAGAAACAAAAAGAAAAGUUGUUUACAGCAUUAAAGGAUUCUAGAAUGUCACAUCUUGCAAAACAAAACAAAAAGUCCUGUUUUUGCCAGCUUUAUUAGACGAUCCAUUUAGUUUAAUUGGGCGAGUUGUUCUUCAUAAAAUGAAAGAAGUUGACAAAGAAGAGUAUUUCUGGUGCAAAGCUAAUGUUGUUAAAAUGGGUAAAGUUGGAAAAAAAAUUAAGUAAACAUUAUAUGAUGUUAUUUACGAAUCAGAACCUGAAAGCAUUUAUACAUUUCCACUGUUAUCUGACUUCGAUAAAGGAGAUAUGAUUUUGUUAUAAAAGGAAACACAAUGAACUGCUUGUAAGAUUGUGGUGCAACGUAAACAAGAAGAAAUUGUAGAUGAUAAUUUUAAAUACAUUUUUGCAUUUUUCUUAA